CUACUCACUUUGGCAACAGAUAUUCUCAAAUUGGAACCAUGUAUGGAUGUUUAGCACGGCCCCUGCACACAGAUAAUGCAUCAAUUGGUGAAGCAUUUCAUAUUGUU
ensembl:snRNA U6 U6 spliceosomal RNA